rnacentral:rRNA from 1 species
GAGUGAUCAAGUGUCUUAAGGGCAUUUGGUGGAUGCCUUGGCAUGCACAGGCGAUGAAGGACGUGAUACGCUGCGAUAAGCGUCGGGGAGGUGCGAAUACCCUUUGAUCCGACGAUUUCCGAAUGGGGCAACCCACCUUAGAUGACUAGAAAAUCUGUUUUGUUGGAGCAACGCUGGAUGGGUUUACACCCAUACAGACCGCUAGGUCGUCGGCCCAUGUGGGCCGCCCCCGCGGAGCGCCAGCAUUCCUCUGGAAUGCGUACGGCGCGUGAGCGAGAACAGCACAGCUUUCUAGUCAUCAUAAAUAAGGUAUCUAACCUUGAAUACAUAGGGGUUAGAAGCGAACCUGGGGAACUGAAACAUCUAAGUACCCAGAGGAAAGGACAUCAAACGAGACUCCGCUAGUAGUGGCGAGCGAACGCGGACCAGGCCAGUGGCUUUUGUGAAUAAAGUGGAACGAGUUGGAAAACUCGACCGAAGUGGGUGAUAGUCCCGUACACGUAGAAUAGCAGAAGUCCUUGAGUAGGGCGGGACACGUGAAAUCCUGUCUGAACAUGGGUCGACCACGAUCCAAGCCUAAGUACUCGUGCAUGACCGAUAGCGAACCAGUACCGUGAGGGAAAGGUGAAAAGCACCCCGACGAGGGGAGUGAAACAGUACCUGAAACCGGAUGCCUACAAACAGUUGGAGCCCAAGGUUUGUCCUGGGUGACAGCGUACCUUUUGUAUAAUGGGUCAGCGACUUAGUGUAUCGAGCAAGCUUAAGCCGGUAGGUGUAGGCGCAGCGAAAGCGAGUCUGAACAGGGCGUUCAGUUCGAUGCAUUAGACCCGAAACCAAGUGAUCUAGCCAUGAGCAGGUUGAAGGUACGGUAACACGUACUGGAGGACCGAACCCAUAUCUGUUGCAAUAGAUCGGGAUGACUUGUGGCUAGGGGUGAAAGGCCAAUCAAACUUGGAGAUAGCUGGUUCUCCGCGAAAUCUAUUUAGGUAGAGCGUCGACCGAAUACCCCCGGGGGUAGAGCACUGGAUGGGCUAUGGGGACUCACCGUCUUACUGAUCCUAACCAAACUCCGAAUACCGGGGAGUACUAGUCGGCAGACACACGGCGGGUGCUAACGUCCGUCGUGGAGAGGGCAACAACCCUGACCACCAUCUAAGGUCCCUAAGUUAUGGCUAAGUGGGAAAGGAUGUGAGGAUCCCAAAACAACCAGGAUGUUGGCUUAGAAGCAGCCAUCAUUUAAAGAAAGCGUAACAGCUCACUGGUCUAAAUAAGGGUCUUUGCGCCGAAAAUGUACCGGGGCUCAAGCCAUACACCGAAGCUGUGGAUGCACGUAUGUGCGUGGUAGCGGAGCGUUCCGUAAGCCUGUGAAGGGACAGUCGUGAGACAUCCUGGAGGUAUCGGAAGUGAGAAUGCUGACAUGAGUAACGAUAAAGGGAGUGAGAGACUCCCUCGCCGAAAGUCCAAGGGUUCCUGCUUAAAGUUAAUCUGAGCAGGGUUAGCCGGCCCCUAAGGCGAGGCCGAAAGGCGUAGUCGAUGGGAACCACGUUAAUAUUCGUGGGCCUGCAGGUGGUGACGGAUCGCGUGUGUUGUGAGGUCUUAUUGGAUUGAUCUUGCAGCGAAGCGGUUCCAGGAAAUAGCUCCUGCAUAUAGACCGUACCCUAAACCGACACUGGUGGACUGGUAGAGAAUACCAAGGCGCUUGAGAGAACUGCGUUGAAGGAACUCGGCAAAAUGCACGCGUAACUUCGGAAGAAGCGUGACCUCACUAUGGGCAACCAUAGGGGGGUGGCACAGACCAGGGGGUAGCGACUGUUUACCAAAAACACAGGGCUCUGCGAAGUCGCAAGACGACGUAUAGGGUCUGACGCCUGCCCGGUGCUGGAAGGUUAAGAGGAGAGGUGCAAGCCUUGAAUUGAAGCCCCAGUAAACGGCGGCCGUAACUAUAACGGUCCUAAGGUAGCGAAAUUCCUUGUCGGGUAAGUUCCGACCUGCACGAAUGGCGUAACGACUUCCCCGCUGUCUCCAACGCAGACUCAGUGAAAUUGAAUUCCCCGUGAAGAUGCGGGGUUCCUGCGGUUAGACGGAAAGACCCCGUGCACCUUUACUAUAGCUUUACACUGGCAUUCGUGACGACAUGUGUAGGAUAGGUGGUAGACUUUGAAGCAGGGGCGCCAGCCUUUGUGGAGUCACCCUUGAAAUACCACCCUUGUUUUUAUGGAU